CCUACGGGGGACAGCAGUCGAGAAUCAUUCACAAUGGGGGAAACCCUGAUGGUGCGACGCCGCGUGGGGGAAUGAAGGUCUUCGGAUUGUAAACCCCUGUCAUGUGGGAGCAAAUUAAAAAGAUAGUACCACAAGAGGAAGAGACGGCUAACUCUGUGCCAGCAGCCGCGGUAAUACAGAGGUCUCAAGCGUUGUUCGGAAUCACUGGGCGUAAAGCGUGCGUAGGCUGUUUCGUAAGUCGUGUGUGAAAGGCGCGGACUCAACCCGCGGACGGCACAUGAUACUGCGAGACUAGAGUAAUGGAGGGGGAACCGGAAUUCUCGGUGUAGCAGUGAAAUGCGUAGAUAUCGAGAGGAACACUCGUGGCGAAGGCGGGUUCCUGGACAUUAACUGACGCUGAGGCACGAAGGCCAGGGGAGCGAAAGGGAUUAGAUACCCUUGUAGUC
rnacentral:rRNA from 1 species